CAGGGGAUGUUUCUGCCCUCAGCUUAAGGCACUUGGAAGGGGGAAAGAAACCCGGCUGAUGUAGUAAAGGCAAAAAAAAAAAAAAAAAAAAAAAAAAAAAGCUGUCUCCAGCAGGAGGUAGGGGGAUUGGGGAGGGGGGUGGAAUCAACCACCAUGUUGUUGUUUGUUCCUUUAAUACGUCCCUUGGGAUAACAACAAACAGAGAAGAUGGCAAACUCCCAGGAAUCUGCCACCUACCCAGAAGUGGGAGAAACCGUCAAGGACAAGGACUGUCAGCAGAUCUGACUCCUUGAAAAAGGGAAGGGGCAAGGGGUUUGAGAGGAAAGAGAAAAGAAGAAAGUUGAAGAAGCAGGAAUUCCAAGGCUACCUCCAGCCCCAAACCCUAGUCAUAGGAGGUUGUCUGUUCCAGUCCAGGAAAUAGUCUGCUGCUGGAUUAUCCUAAAGCUGGAGUUCAUGCUACCUUUCACAGAAGUUUCUUCAUUUGAGGAGGACCAGUAUUCUAACAUUCACCUAGAGGUUAUGAGCCACCUCCAGAGCUAUCCCAGUGGUGCAGUGGACAAUGUUGGCCCUGAAGUCAGGAAGAUGUGAAUUCAAAUCCAGGAUCAGACAUUUACUAAAUGUGUUAUUCUGAAUGAAUGUGGACUACUUGCAUUUUUGUUUUUCUUCCCAGGUUAUUUUAACUUUCUGAAUCCAAUUCUUCUUGUGCAACAAGAGAACUGUACGGUUCUGUACAUUUAUAUUGUAUCUAGGAUAUACUAUAACAUAUUUAACAUGUAUAAGACUGCCUGCCAUCUAGGGGAAGGGGUGGAGAAAGGGAAGGGAAAAGUCGGAACAGAAGUGAGUGCAAGGGAUAAUGUUGUAAAAAAAUUAUCCCAAAAAAAAUUAAAAAAAAAUAAAAUAAAAAAAAAUUA